CUAUAAUGGCAGCGCUAGGUUUUAUAAAAAACGCAAGUGAGGAGUUGAAGGAUGUGGCUUGUUCUGUUUGGAUGAUGCAGGAUUGCUUUAAGCAGUAAGCUUACUGUUUUCAGAUGGCAUUAGCAGCAUCAGUGAUCUAGCUGUGUCAGCCUCCUUGACUACUGGAUGUCUGUAAUCGCACGGAGGAAACUAUAUUUAAGAUCUGAUAUCUUGAGGGUAAUGACUCCAGCACUUACUGAUGGACAGAAUGGCUGUUAAUGCUUUCUUCACUAGCCCAGAAGAUUUUGAGAGAUAGAUGGGUCUGUGAUGCACUUUUGUAAGACAGGAAAUGCAAUUUUUGGGGGUCUCUGGAAAUAGGAAGGUCAUGCAGCUCGGAACCGGUGAGACGUUACAGUCUCUAAGUCAUCAGAUGGGGAAGCUGAGGCACAGAGAUUAAGUGACUUUCCCAAGGCCACACAGCAAGUCAGUGGCAGAUCCAGGAUUAGCACUCGGGGACUUCCUGGAUCCCUCUCCCAUGCUUUAAGCAGUAGACCACAGUGUUCACUGGACUCAGCAAGCAACUCAUUGCAAUUAUGGACAGUUCCAAGGACUCGUACCUGAGAAAUGAUGAAGAGGCUGUUGUGGAUAGAGGUGGAACUCGCUCCAUUCUCAAAACACAUUUUGAGAAGGAAGACCUAGAAGGCCAUCGAACAUUGUUCAUUGGAGUUCAUGUGCCACUGGGUGGAAGAAAAAGUCACCGACGCCAUAGGCACCGUGGACAUAAACACAGAAAGAGAGACAGAGAGCGAGAUUCAGGAUUAGAAGAUGGGAGAGAGUCUCCUCCUUUUGAUACCCCAUCACAAAGGGUGCAGUUUAUUCUUGGAACAGAAGAUGAUGACGAGGAACACAUUCCUCAUGAUCUCUUUACCGAGCUUGAUGAAAUUUGUUGGCGUGAAGGAGAGGACGCGGAGUGGAGGGAGACAGCAAGGUGGUUGAAGUUUGAAGAAGAUGUAGAAGAUGGUGGAGAGAGGUGGAGUAAACCAUAUGUUGCCACACUGUCACUUCAUAGCUUGUUUGAGCUGAGAAGCUGUAUCCUAAAUGGCACAGUUCUUUUGGACAUGAGAGCUAACUCCAUAGAAGAAAUUGCAGAUAUGAUUCUGGACCAGCAGGUGAGUUCUGGGCAGCUCAGUGAGGAUGUUCGUCACAGAGUGCAUGAGGCAUUACUGAAACAGCAUCACCAUCAGAACCAGAAGAAGCUGAGCAACAGGAUCCCAAUUGUGAGAUCCUUUGCUGAUAUUGGAAAGAAGCAGUCUGAGCCCCAUUCCAUGGAUAAAAAUGCAGGUCAGAUUGUUUCCCCACAGUCUGCUCCAGCCUGUAUUGAAAACAAAAAUGAUGUGAGCAGAGAAAAUAGCACUGUUGACUUCAGCAAGGUUGACCUACACUUCAUGAAAAAGAUACCACCUGGAGCUGAAGCGUCGAACAUCUUAGUUGGUGAACUGGAGUUCCUGGACCGUGCGGUUGUUGCUUUUGUUAGGUUAUCUCCUGCAGUGCUGCUUACGGGACUAGCUGAAGUUCCAAUUCCAACAAGAUUUUUGUUUAUUCUUCUUGGACCUUUGGGUAAAGGGCAACAAUACCAUGAGAUUGGAAGAUCAAUUGCAACACUAAUGACAGAUGAGGUGUUCCAUGAUGUUGCUUACAAAGCAAAAGACCGCAAUGACUUAGUGUCCGGCAUCGAUGAGUUUCUUGAUCAGGUUACUGUUCUCCCUCCUGGAGAGUGGGACCCAACAAUUCGAAUAGAACCACCUAAAAAUGUUCCCUCUCAGGAGAAGCGUAAGAUCCCAGGAGUGCCAAAUGGGACUGCAGCCCAUGGGGACGCAGAACAUUCUGGAGGACACUCUGGACCAGAACUGCAACGCACUGGAAAAUUUUUUGGAGGAUUGAUUUUAGAUAUAAAAAGAAAAGCUCCCUUCUUCUGGAGUGACUUCAGGGAUGCUCUCAGUCUGCAGUGUCUGGCAUCAUUUUUGUUUCUCUACUGUGCUUGCAUGUCUCCUGUCAUCACAUUUGGUGGUCUGCUGGGAGAAGCAACUGAAGGUCGUAUAAGUGCAAUAGAAUCGCUGUUUGGAGCAUCCAUGACUGGAAUUGCCUACUCUCUCUUUGGUGGACAGCCUCUCACUAUACUUGGCAGCACCGGACCAGUUUUAGUAUUUGAGAAGAUCUUAUUCAAAUUUUGCAAAGAGUAUGGGUUGUCGUACCUUUCUCUGAGAGCUAGCAUUGGACUGUGGACUGCAAUCCUGUGCAUCAUCCUUGUUGCAACUGAUGCAAGCUCCCUAGUCUGCUACAUUACCCGGUUUACUGAAGAAGCUUUUGCUUCUCUUAUCUGCAUCAUUUUCAUUUAUGAGGCCUUAGAGAAGCUGUUUCAUCUCAGUGAGACAUAUCCAAUCAACAUGCAUAAUGAUUUGGAUCUGCUGACCAAGUACUCAUGUAAUUGUGUGGAACCAGAACAUCCUAGCAAUAAAACCUUACAAUACUGGCAGGACUACAAUAUAUCUGCAUCUGAUGUGCCAUGGGGGAACCUAACUGUGUCAGAAUGUAAAAAGUUUCAUGGAGAGUUUGUUGGACGAGCCUGUGGUCAUCAUGGCCCUUAUGUUCCAGAUGUCCUCUUCUGGUCUGUCAUCUUAUUCUUUUCUACAGUAACGCUGUCAUCCACACUGAAGCAGUUCAAAACUAGCCGAUACUUCCCAACAAAGGUACGAUCUGUUGUCAGCGACUUUGCUGUCUUUCUCACUAUUUUAUCCAUGGUUUUAAUUGACUAUGCCAUUGGGAUUCCAUCACCAAAACUUCAGGUUCCAAACGCUUUUAAGCCCACCAGAGAUGAUCGUGGCUGGUUUAUUACUCCUUUGGGGCCUAAUCCUUGGUGGACAGUGAUAGCUGCUGUAAUUCCAGCCCUGCUUUGUACUAUCCUUAUCUUUAUGGACCAGCAGAUCACAGCUGUCAUUAUCAAUAGAAAAGAACACAAGCUAAAGAAAGGAUGUGGAUACCAUCUCGACCUACUCAUGGUGGCAGUCAUGCUUGGAGUGUGCUCUAUUAUGGGAUUGCCGUGGUUUGUUGCAGCCACCGUCCUCUCUAUUUCCCAUGUGAAUAGCUUAAAACUGGAAUCAGAGUGCUCCGCUCCAGGGGAGCAGCCAAAAUUUCUUGGAAUCCGGGAGCAAAGAGUCACAGGGCUCAUGAUCUUUGUCCUUAUGGGCUCAUCUGUCUUUUUGACAAGUAUCCUGAAGUUUAUUCCUAUGCCAGUACUUUAUGGAGUAUUUCUUUACAUGGGUGCUUCAUCUCUAAAGGGAAUUCAGCUUUUUGACAGGAUAAAGUUAUUCUGGAUGCCUGCAAAGCAUCAGCCAGAUUUUAUAUAUCUGAGGCAUGUUCCUCUUAGAAAGGUCCAUCUCUUCACUAUAAUUCAGCUGAGUUGUCUUGUGCUUCUGUGGAUUAUAAAGGUUUCAAGAGCUGCCAUUGUCUUUCCUAUGAUGGUCCUAGCUUUGGUAUUUGUCCGAAAACUCAUGGAUUUCUUUUUUACUAAGCGGGAGCUCAGUUGGUUAGAUGAUUUGAUGCCUGAGAGCAAGAAAAAGAAACUGGAAGAUGCUGAGAAAGAGGAAGAGCAAAGUAUGUUAGCAAUGGAAGAGGAAGGGACUGUUCAGUUACCACUAGAAGGACAUUACAGAGAUGACCCAUCUGUGAUAAACAUUUCUGAUGAAAUGGCAAAAACUGCUGUUUGGAAGACAUUGUUGAUAUCCUCGGAGAAUGCAAAAGAUAAGGAGUCAAGCUUUCCUUCUAAAAGCUCCCCUUCCUAAUCACUCUAGAUGCUGAUUCCCCAAAGUUAAGGAAUUAUUCCCAUGAAACCUGUGCUGAAAUCAGACCAGAGAAGAAAGCUGACUCAGGGAAAGGCGUUGACCGGGAGACUUGUCUAUGACUUGUUCUUCAAUUAAUUUUUUUACAAAUGAAUGAAAGGAGUGCCACAACCACUAAAUACAAAUGAUUUGACCUUGUAACUUUUGUCUUUCAUCUCAAACUAGCACAGGUAAUGUAGUGCAAUAUUUGUCUCAUUUCACCUUGUCUAAAUGUCUACAUUGUCUAGUAUAUGUGUAAAAGUCUGCAGUAGCCAAUGCAAAAAAUCUUCAUGUUCCUUGCUGAUAUUGGCCAUUUAUCAGUAUUCAUAUCAUAAAUUUAACAUGCAAGGUUUCUUUCAAAUUCAACUAUCCUGUUAAUACGUUUGUACUGUAUUUUGCUACUUUUUCUGUGUGAGAAUACUUAAUAAUCUUCAUUCAAGAUGAACUUGAAAACACUUGUUCCAAUUUUUUUUUUUUAAAUCACCUAACUCAAGUAAAUGAUUUCAGGAGACCCAAACUGACAAGCAAACAUUAACGUUUUUAAAGUAACAACUGAUCUGACCCUGUGAACAAACUAACAAGGAUAAUCCUUUCCUCCUCAAGCUGUCCUUUUGAAGUCAUGGAUUACUCUUGCAAUGAGGAUUGCAGGGUCAGAUUCUGUAUUUGUGAAGUUUUCAUUGAUUUAAUACAGUGUAUUUAAUAUUCAGAUUUGUAUGUAACUGGAACAUAGUCUCAUAU